GGGGAAUAUUGCACAAUGGGGGAAACCCUGAUGCAGCGACGCCGCGUGGAGGAAGAAGGUCUUCGGAUUGUAAACUCCUGUUGUUGGGGAAGAUAAUGACGGUACCCAACAAGGAAGUGACGGCUAACUACGUGCCAGCAGCCGCGGUAAAACGUAGGUCACAAGCGUUGUCCGGAAUUACUGGGUGUAAAGGGAGCGCAGGCGGGAAGACAAGUUGGAAGUGAAAUCUAUGGGCUCAACCCAUAAACUGCUUUCAAAACUGUUUUUCUUGAGUAGUGCAGAGGUAGGCGGAAUUCCCGGUGUAGCGGUGGAAUGCGUAGAUAUCGGGAGGAACACCAGUGGCGAAGGCGGCCUACUGGGCACCAACUGACGUUGAGGCUCGAAAGUGUGGGUAGCAAACAGGAUUAGAUACCCUGGUAGUCCACACCGUAAACGAUGAUUACUAGGUGUUGGAGGAUUGACCCCUUCAGUGCCGCAGUUAACACAAUAAGUAAUCCACCUGGGGAGUACGACCGCAAGGUUGAAACUCAAAGGAAUUGACGGGGGCCCGCACAAGCAGUGGAGUAUGUGGUUUAAUUCGACGCAACGCGAAGAACCUUACCAAGUCUUGACAUCCCUUGACGAUGCUGGAAACAGUAUUUCUCUUCGGAGCAAGGAGACAGGUGGUGCAUGGUUGUCGUCAGCUCGUGUCGUGAGAUGUUGGGUUAAGUCCCGCAACGAGCGCAACCCUUAUGGUCAGUUACUACGCAAGAGGACUCUGGCCAGACUGCCGUUGACAAAACGGAGGAAGGUGGGGAUGACGUCAAAUCAUCAUGCCCUUUAUGACUUGGGCUACACACGUACUACAAUGGCGUUAAACAAAGAGAAGCAAGACCGCGAGGUGGAGCAAAACUCAGAAACAACGUCCCAGUUCGGACUGCAGGCUGCAACUCGCCUGCACGAAGUCGGAAUUGCUAGUAAUCGUGGAUCAGCAUGCCACGGUGAAUACGUUCCCG
rnacentral:rRNA from 2 species